AUACGGAAGGUGCAAGCGUUAAUCGGAAUCACUGGGCGUAAAGCGCAUGUAGGCGGACAUUUAAGUCAGGGGUGAAAUCCCGGGGCUCAACCUCGGAACUGCCUUUGAUACUGGGUGUCUAGAGUGUGGAAGAGGUAAGUGGAAUUCCAGGUGUAGGAGUGAAAUCCGUAGAGAUCUGGAGGAACACCAGUGGCGAAGGCGACUACCUGGACCGAUACUGACACUGAGGAGCGAAAGCGU
rnacentral:rRNA from 1 species